AUGUUUGUAGAGCGAAGCCCUCCACUUGAGGAAGUGAUCAACACAGGCGUGGUGCCUCGCUUCAUUGAGUUCCUCACACGGGAGGACUAUCCCCAACUCCAGUUUGAGGCUGCAUGGGCGCUCACCAACAUUGCAUCAGGCACAUCAGACAACACCAAAGUGGUGGUUGAGUACGGUGCUGUGCCCAUCUUUGUCAAGCUACUCAGCUCUCCUAGUGAGGAUGUCCGCGAACAGGCUGUUUGGGCUCUGGGGAAUGUUGCUGGGGACUCUCCAAAGUGCCAUGACCUUGUGCUUGGAAGUGGUGGUCUAUUCCCUUUGUUGCAGCAGCUCAAUGAGCAUGCCAAGCUCUCAAUGCUCAGGAAUGCCACAUGGACACUCUCCAACUUCUGCCGUGGGAAACCACAGCCAAACUAUGAACAUGUUUAA
rnacentral:rRNA from 1 species